GUGGUUGAUGGAGCGACAGGAGAUCGCGAUAAGGACGGUCUAAGUUUAGGAGGGACUUGAGCAAAACCAGAUGUUACCGAUGUAUGAAGUUGGGGCAUCUAGUCAAAGAUUGCCCUCAACUGAAAAAUCGGACGGUGGCUGCUGUGGUGACGGCUGACAGCGAUUCAGAAGGAGAUGUCUUGGAGAUAUCUGACGAAGUAU
rnacentral:lncRNA from 1 species